CCUACGGGUGGCUGCAGUGGGGAAUAUUGCACAAUGGGCGCAAGCCUGAUGCAGCCAUGCCGCGUGUGUGAAGAAGGCCUUCGGGUUGUAAAGCACUUUCAGCGGGGAGGAAGGCGGUGAGGUUAAUAACCUCAUUGAUUGACGUUACCCGCAGAAGAAGCACCGGCUAACUCCGUGCCAGCAGCCGCGGUAAUACGGAGGGUGCAAGCGUUAAUCGGAAUUACUGGGCGUAAAGCGCACGCAGGCGGUCUGUCAAGUCGGAUGUGAAAUCCCCGGGCUCAACCUGGGAACUGCAUUCGAAACUGGCAGGCUAGAGUCUUGUAGAGGGGGGUAGAAUUCCAGGUGUAGCGGUGAAAUGCGUAGAGAUCUGGAGGAAUACCGGUGGCGAAGGCGGCCCCCUGGACAAAGACUGACGCUCAGGUGCGAAAGCGUGGGGAGCAAACAGGAUUAGAUACCCUUGUAGUC
rnacentral:rRNA from 1 species